GGACGUGUUUUAUUGUUCUAAGAUAACCGAGCGGCUCUGUGCUCGGUCUCGUCGUGUGUAUGAUAUUUUUGCACAUAUUCCUGAACCGCGAGCGCCCAAAGAGUUGAUGCGAAUUCGUUCUAGGACUCCCUUUUGUACAUAACAUUUUGUACAUACGGUAUUCAAGUGAUGAGUUCGAGUAAUACACAGAGGGCGGGGAAAAGCAGCCGAGAUCGAGGGAACAAGUCACCGUCGACGGCGACGACACAGUCUCCCAAGGCGGUCACUGCCACAGAUGGGCAUGCCAAGCCGCCCGACGGCUUCAUUCCCAAAGUCCAGCCAACUCCCGAGCAGAUCCGGCUGGCACAGAUUAUCAAUGACCCAACGAAGCAAGAUGAUCCAGACAUCAGGAACAAAGUCAACCAGGUGAUGGAGGUGACAGGCCAGUCCAGUGAUGCAGUCGUGAUAGCACUGCAUGACUGCGACAAUGACCCCGCACGAGCCAUCACUAUGCUGAUUGAAGGCAACAAGCAGGAGGGCGAGUGGGAGACUCGGGGCAAAAAGAAGAAGCCGGUAAAGGAGGGCAAUCAGCAGCAGCAGCAGCAACAGAAAGGGGACCAAGGUGGCCCCGCGAGCAGCAACAAGGAGAACCGUGGGGGGCCUCGCGGGGAGGGCGGCCCCCCACGCAACGUGCCUAGAGGGUCUGGUGGUGGCCGUGGAGGAGGUCGCGGAGGAAGCUGGAAGAAUAAGGAAAUUGAGAAGAACGAACGAAACUUGGAAGACGGACGUUCUGGCGAGCGGACUGGCGACAUGCGGCCACGGGGAGGCAGCCGGCGGGGUGGCCGGGGUGGCCGAGGAGGGGGUGUUGGUGGUGGUCGUGGUAGCCGCACGUUCCAGAACCGGGGACUGGGCAGCCACGAUGGCUUCCCCCAGUCUAUGGACACAUGGACCAACAGCACGUCAGCCGGAGGGCAGCGGCCAUCCAGGGGAGGUCAACCGCAGCAGCAACAGCAACAGCAGGAUGCCAUGCCAGUCGGCAACUGGAACGACCUGGCGGUCAGUGAGGACUGGAGUGAGGAGGACUGGACUGGUCAGCUGGAAACGAAAGUGUUCACGGCAAGUGGAGUGGCUGCAAAUCCUCCGCCAGCACCCGACACAGCAAGCAUCAUACAGCUGUUGAAGGAGUCUCCACACGAGUCAAUCAGUGUUGCCCAGUACAACCAGCAAGCUACCGAAUCUAUCAAGGCAGCUGUUGGGGUUGGCUCGGCAGCCAAUUCUGUGACCGGCAGCAGCUACCCCGUGGCUCAGACGGUGUCCUCUGCAGACGUCUCUUCUGUCACAACCUCCAAGCCAGUCCCUGCGUCCCAGCGGACAAAGACGCCAAGGGUGCGGGUGCCACCUCCCUCAAAGAUACCAGAGUCGGCAGUUGAAAUGCCAGAGGACAGUGCCGUCUCUUCACUAGAAGUCCAGUUUGGUGGCCUUGAGUUUGGCACAGACACGUUUGACUUCGGGGCUGCGGAUGGCUUGGCAGCUGUGUCCACAGCACAGCCCACAAUGCCGCCAGGGUUGGUUCAGACUGAGCAGGCAGCAGUCACUUCAUCGGUUCCCUCGUCCACACCUUACCUGGAUGGACAUCAUGGUGUCAAUAAGGUUCCAUCAUCAACAGUCUCCAGCAGUCCUGCGGGUUCGCUAGGUGCCUCCUCGGUUGCCAGCAAAGAUGUUGCUCCCGCAACGGCUGGUGCAGUGCCUCAACCACAGUCGCAGCCACCGCAGCAACAGUCUCAGCAGCAGUCGCUACCUUCUCAGCCAGCAGCAGCGCCGCCUCGGCCUCCUGGCAUCCCUGCGCCCAAGGAACCUCAGGGCCUGGGAAACAGUGUGGCUCCUGCGGGCAACGCACUGGGCGGUGUCCCCGCGUCCUCUGCAACCUCAGCAGGUGUUGCAGCAUCUGCAACUUCCUCGGCCAGUCACAAGCCUGGUUCUGUGAUGGCCCCUGAGCACCUGCUGCUGCAGUCACAAUCCCACUCUGAGCGCAGCAAGCCUGUGUCAUCCUCAUCUGUGGCUGGCCCACAGUCCAAGAUGUAUGCUGGUGGAGCUGCAGCCCAGAGGAACAGCCAAGGGCUUGAAGGUGGGCUGUCAGCAGGCAAAGUGGAGCAGCCCAUGUACUCGUCAGCAGGUGGAGCCCAGCACUACAGCAGUGGUGCCUACCCAGGGGGUGGGGGCAAGGGCCUGGUUGGCUCCUACCUGGCCCACUCGCAGGGUUUCCCAUCGUCCACCACGGGGCCGCAGCAGCAGCAGCAGCACUACUACGCUGCUCAGCAGCCGCAGCCCACCAGUUCUACAACCGCUGCCUUCAGCCAGCAACAGAGCAACGGCUACCAGGGUCCAUACCAGAGCAAUGCCUAUUCUGGGCCGAGUCAGCCACAGCAGGCAAAUUAUGGGGUCUCUUCCAAGCUCUCGGCAUCCGCAGGGUUGGGUCCUCACUCAGUGAAGGAUUCAGUGCUUGACUCUUCCCAGCAAGGAACUGCCAGCCAGCACAACACGUAUGAGAACUCGCAUGUCCCUGCCACAGCAACGGGGCUUCCCUCUGGGCCAGCUUCGACGCUAGCGACAACAGCCUCCUCAUUAGCAGGUGCCACAGCAACGACGUCUGUGCUUAAGAACUCCAUGUCAGCAAGUGAGUGGAGCAAGACCAUGCCUACGAUGCCGCCUGGAGUGCCUACUGCCAUGCUGGGCCACCAGUUCCUUGUGGGAAAUGCUGCCAUGCCAUACUAUGGCUUGCAGCAGCAGCCUUUGUAUAGCUACGAAGACUUGCAAGUGCUACAGACUAGAAUGCCACACCUGGGCUACUAUGACAUGCAGUACCCUGUGCCUGCCACGAGCCUAGCCGGCCGAGACCUUACAUUGAACAACAUGGCUUACGCAGAGAGUAACAAGUUUGGCCGUGGUGAGAACAGCGACAGUAGUCCCGGCACGGUAGCUGGGGUGGGACCCCAAGGGGCUGCAGCGGGUGCUGCAGCUGCUGCCCAGGGUGGGGCCCAAGGGGGACAGCAGGGCGCACCCCCCACGGCAGGACAGCAGGCAGCAGCCAGCCAGCAAUUCCUGAACACACUGCCCCCUGGAUAUGGCUACUACUUCCCAUCCAACCUCAUGCCCGGAUCCAUCCACCACUACGGACCACCGCCCAUGUUCCCUGCGGGUAUGACAGCCUGACUCAGACACCAGACUACGCCAAAAACACCUAUGGUGCAGGUUCUCAGGGACAGGCUAAGGGCAUCUCGGGUUCAUUGGGUUCGGCCGAUGCUUCCAGGUCAGGGCACACUAGAACCCACCCCCAUUUAGCAAAGUCUUUUGAGAAGCCAGGUUUUCUGACUGGUUCCCAGUCUUCGGCAGCGGCGGUGGCAUCCUCAACAGCAGUAGCAGGCCACCAGCAGCAG
rnacentral:misc_RNA from 1 species